UCAUACGAGAAAUACGUGUUUGUGAUCGAAUCGUGCUUGCGUGUGAAUAACGCGAAAUCUUAAAUUAAAACGAGUGUGUAACCGGUUAAUUAAUUUCAGUGUUUUACUAUCACCUGUAACGUUAUUUACUUCAAUUUCGUACAUACAGACGCGUCAUAUGCUACGUAGUGACCAAGAGCUAUACGUAGAAAUUUUUCAGCGAACAUACAAAAUAAAUGAUAAUCAAAAAGAAAUGUCGGCCAAAAACCCAGUAGCAGUAAACCCUAAAGAAACACUAGAUAAGCACUAAACUGCCAUGACAUCCGAAGAACCGAUCGAUGUGGUCACCAAGUCCGAGAAAAAGACAGGAACGAGCUUCCCGAGUCAGAGUUCGGGUGACAAUAAAACAGUGAAACACUCGGAUGAGAAUAAAAAGCGAUCGCAGGAACUAAUGCGACUUGUAUAUGAAUUACCUGAAGAGAUAAGAAAACCAGAAAUAAACGUAAACAUGUUGAAAGAAAACCCACCGAUUACAAUACUUGAGAUAACUGAACAGAACGGUUGUGAAACAGAACUUGGAAGUGGCACGCAAAUUGAUAGUGAAUAUUGUAAAGGAUCUAGUCCUGAUAAUACAUACGAUGAUUAUCCAAACGAACUUAUAAUGCAUUGUGAUGAAUACAAAGAGGUUAUAGAUAGAUCAUCUCCGGACGAUUGUACAGAUGAAGAUUUGCUUGAAUUGAAGAAAAUAUUAGAGAACAAACCGAAAGUUUUGGAAAGAUAUUUAAGGGAAUGUGCGUCUUCUGAUGAAGUGAAUAGGAUUCAUAAUAUAACGUCAUGCGGUCCAUUGUCACCGAGGCCACACCACGAAGCGAGAAGUACUUCAGUGACGUCAGAUCUGUUCCAGUUAUGGCUGUCGUCAUCACCAGUAAAGAGAUCGCGAUCGCCGAGCAGUUCCGCACAGAGGCAGCUGGAUGAAGCAGAUCUAUUUAUGGACCUGAUCAAAGACGUCGCCAAUGAACUGGAUAUUGAUGUAUUAUGUCAUAAGAUCUUGGUGAACGUAUGCUUGCUGACGUCAGCAGAUCGCGGCAGUCUGUUCCUAGCUAAAGGAAUUCCACCCAAUAGAUAUCUUCAAGCUAAACUCUUCGAUGUAACCAGAGACACGGAACUCUAUGACGCGCUUCGUACAGCCAGAACACAAGAGAUAAGAAUCCCUUUCGGCGUAGGUGUUGCAGGACUGGCAGCGCAGACGAAACAUCCUAUUAAUAUAAGAAAUGCAUACGCAGACCCAAGGUUCAACAGUGAGAUCGACGCGCGUACAGGUUAUAAAACAGAGUUGAUCCUCUGUAUGCCGAUUUGCAACUACGAAGGAGAUGUGGUCGGUGUGGCACAGAUUAUAAAUAAAACAGAUGGUUCAAAGGAAUUUUCAGCAAGAGACGUGGAAGUUUUCCGACGGUACCUCACAUUCUGUGGUAUAGGUAUACAGAAUGCGCAACUCUUCGAAUCCUCUGUGCUCGAGUAUAAGAGGAAUCAGAUACUUCUAGCAUUAGCUAGAAGUAUAUUUGAGGAACAGAGUAAUCUAGAAUGUCUCGUGACGAAGAUAAUGACGGAGGCGAGAGAGUUGCUCAAAUGUGAAAGAUGUGCCGUCUUCUUGUUGGAUACGGAUCAUUGUGAAUCGAGUCAUCUAGAACGCAUUGUACAACGGCCGGGCGGUCAGCGCAGCGGGACUUUAGCGCUGCCUCCGCCCGCACCGACUCGCUUCCACACGCUGUUCGAGCUCGGCGCUGAACACUCCAAGACCACGCUCACACCGCGACAUGACAACCGGUCUACGUUGGCGUCCAUUGCACUUGCGGUAGCGCAGUCAAACAAAGCGCUGAACAUAUCAGACGUGGAGGAAUGGCGACGAGAUAACAUGUGUUUGGGCGAAGCGGCACCUGACGAUGCCAGCAAUGUGCGCACUAUGCUCUGCAUGCCAAUUGUCAACGCUAACAAAGAUGUCAUCGGUGUGGCGCAGCUUAUUAACAAGGAAAACAGUUCUCAGUUCACGGACGGGGAUAUAUCGAUUUUCGAAGCGUUCGCCAUUUUCUGUGGCCUCGGCAUACAUAAUACACAAAUGUAUGAGAACGCUUGCAAACUUAUGGCCAAACAAAAGGUUGCACUAGAAUGUUUGUCCUACCACGCCACAGCUUCAGCAGAAGACACAAACAAAUUGAGUCAAGAUAUCAUUCCUUCUGCAGACAGUUACAAUCUGUAUAGCUUUAAAUUUCACGAUUUCGAUCUGUCAGACGAGGACACGUGCAGGGCGACAUUACGAAUGUUCCUGCAGUGUAAUCUGGUCGAGAAAUUUCAUAUACCUUACGAUGUAUUAUGUAGAUGGAUAUUAAGCGUUAAGAAAAAUUAUCGACCAGUGAAAUACCACAACUGGAGACACGCACUCAACGUAGCCCAGACAAUGUUCGCGAUGUUGAAGACAGGAAAGAUGGAGAGGUUCAUGUCAGACCUGGAGAUCCUCGGUCUUCUGGUCGCCUGUCUCUGCCAUGAUCUGGACCACAGGGGGACCAACAACGCAUUCCAGACCAAGACCGAAAGUCCACUUGCAAUUUUAUACUCCACGUCUACGAUGGAACACCAUCAUUUUGAUCAGUGUGUCAUGAUAUUGAACAGCGAGAGUAAUAAUAUCUUCCAGGCGCUAUCACCGUGCGACUACAAGGAUGUGAUGCGCGUUGUGGAGACUGCGAUCCUGUCCACUGACCUCGCGAUGUACUUCAAGAAGAAGUCCAAGUUCCUGGAGCUGGUUGACAACGGGGAGUUCGACUGGCAGAGUCCUGAGAAGAAGGAGUUACUCUGUGGCAUGAUGAUGACGGCAUGCGACGUGUCAGCUAUAGCCAAACCCUGGGAGGUGCAGCACAAGGUGGCCAAGCUGGUGGCUGACGAGUUCUUCGACCAGGGCGACCUGGAGAAGCUGCAGCUGAAUCAACAACCAAUUGCUAUGAUGGACAGGGAAAAGAAAGACGAGCUCCCACAGAUGCAAGUAGGCUUCAUAGAUAUGAUCUGCUUGCCGCUGUACAAAGUUCUAUCUGAUACCUUCCCCUGGAUACAACCGCUGUACUCCGGCACUAUGGAGAACAGGCAGCGAUGGCAGGACCUCGCAGAGAAGGUCGAGAUGGGUCUCACCUGGAUAGACCACGAUACCAUCGACAAACCGAUCGAAGAAUUCACUGCAUCAAACGAAGCAAUAAAAGACGUGGAAUUGACUGUCACAACAUUAAACUGCACAAAACCUAUCCAAGAAACUAGCAACAUGGCUCUUGUGAAGAAAACUUAUUCCUUGAGGAGACCAAAGCCGAGCACACUACCGUCGCGCCCGCCGAGAAAUAAAUUUACUAGCCUCCUGCAGAUCCCUCUACGCGCCAAACUGCCCGGCCGAAGAGAGGCAGAGAGAGAAGAUGCCGACGACGGUGCUGAGCGACAAGAACAGCCGCUGCACCGUCGUGCCCGAGACCAGCCCGGAAACCAGCCAGCCUAGCAAGACUUCCAAACACAAAGGCAGGCUGUGCCACAUGUUGUGACGGUUAAGCUUUCACUGGACUAGCCAGAGCAGCUCAGAUAAAAAGGACAAAGUGAAACCGUCCAAAUCAAUUGAUUAAAGCAACUAUCUGCGUCUUGUUAGUUCAGUGAAACUAUUAGUUUGAUUCUACUAUUAGAGACUAUAAAACUAAAAUUAAACUAUUAAACUAAACUUUUGUAGUGACUUCGAAUACCUCGCCCGACUGAACAUAAUUAUGAACGACUUUUAAAUGUUUUCUUAGGAUAUUUCUUUGUAUUUGUGAUCUUAACAGAUUUCUAAUCGAACAAAUUGUAUUAUUAAUAAUUCAACACUUAAACUGUAAUUUGUAAGUUAAAUGAAUGUACGAUUUGUAUACACAUUGUACAAAAGUUGAAAUGUAUAAUUUGUAUUCAUUUAGAAUAUACAUUUUUUCCUUACGUUAACCAUGAUAUUCUGCUUAUACGUUAAUACAAAAACAUGUCUAUUUCUGUUUUCUCAAAGAAUAUGACAAAGAUGGUGAUAUUGUGUUUUUGUACUAGUAUUCCGAUGGAAAGUCGUUGUAAAAGAUAUUUUAUAAAGAAUGUAUGGUUUAAAGCAUCAUGUUAUAUUUUUAAACAAUA